GUUUUUAAUUGAAAUCUGGAAUGAAGGGUUGAAUGAAAUUUUAGCUGUCUCCUGUUUAAUUUUUGAAAUUUAUUUUUAAGUUAAAAAGCUUAAAUACUAUAAAGGGACGAGAAGACCCUAUAGAGUUUUAUAAUUAUUAAAUACGUUAACAAAAUUUUAUAGCCAUUAAUUUAUUUUUCAUUUUAUUUUGUUGGGGCGAUAUUAAAAUUUUAAAAACUUUUAAUGUUAUUUUUAUAAAAAUAAUUAAAUAAUUGAUCCAAUUUAAUUGAUUAAAAGUUUAAAUUACCUUAGGGAUAACAGCAUAAUUUUCUUAUAGAGUCCUUAUUAGUAAGAGAGAUUAU
rnacentral:rRNA from 1 species